GGAAGAUACAGAAAACAAUUGAACUUCCACCAAUAAAGUAUCUGGAGGUAAGGUAACACCUAAAAACAUUGGUUUUCAACUAGAUAUAAAGGGCGUAUUGGGCACAUAAAUCUUAUAAAGAAAACUGGUCAGAUGCAUCUAAAAUUUUAGGCAAAGAAGAACAAAUGAUAAUGCACGAAUUAAACAAGGAAACACUCUCAUUGCAGUAGAUCCUUCAACAGCUACCUGCCUAUCUGACGUGUUACAGCAGAAAUAUUCCAGUAAUUCAUGUGCAGGAUCAAUUUUCAAGAUACCUAAGGUGCCAUAUGAAACUCAAUAUGUUGCGCGUAAUUUUUCAUUAACUUAAACCUAUCAUAAACAGAAUUAGUAUCUUCUAUCAAAUUUAUCAUGAACAAUCAAUUUUAUCUAGACUAAGUCUCUGCAAGUUUCCACUAUCCAUAAGCAUCCUAAGACCAGCUUUCAGUUCUGGUACCCCUUCCUCCAAGACAGCACAUACUGGAUAUAUAGAAACACCCUGAACUCUUCUUUUCAAUUCUUCAUACACUUCUUCAGCCCCUGCCUCAUCAAUUUUAUUCGCCACAACCAAGGAUGGCCGAUCAGACAGGCCAUCUUGAUGAUGCUCAAGCUCUAAAACUAAAUCUUUCAAUUGUUCCCAUGGUGGAAAUCCCUUUCUACCAUCUAAUCCAGCAACCAAGUCUAGCACAUAAGCCAAAACCUUAGUACGUUCUAUGUGCCGUAGGAAAGCAUGUCCAAGUCCACGAUUCUCAUGAGCACCCUUUAUGAGUCCUGGAAUAUCAGCCACUGUGAUUGAGAAGUCAUCAAACUUCAGUUUACCUAAAUUUGGUCUAAGAGUCGUGAAGGCAUAAUGACCUACCCUAGGUUUUGCCCUGGAUAAAGCUCCCAAAAGAGUACUUUUACCAGCAUUUGGCAUUCCAACAAGGCCCACAUCAGCAAUGCUUUUCAGUUCCAAUACAAGAACAGCCUCUGAGCCAGGCAAACCACAGCUAAGGCAGGACUGAUCCUCACUGGACAUUUCAGGAUCAAAGGCAUUAUCCCUAUUGACUCCAGGCUUACCAAACUUAGCCUUCUUUGAAACAUAUGGAGAAGACACAUUACCCCAACCACCCUCCCCUCCUCGAGCAACAAUUAUUUGCUGACCUGGUUUUGUUAACUCUGCAACAUCAUAAUGUAUAUGUUCCACACCUGCUGAAUCUGCUUGAAUGGCUUUCGUGCUUGCAAAUUCCUCUGCAGUUCCUUUAGCUUGAGUUGAUGAGCCACCAGUAAUAUCCAAUGGCUCAACUUCUUUUUCUACGUAUGUGCUCUUAGAGACAGAUUGCUGGUGAGAUUCUAAUUGAUCAGUAUGGAGAGUGCCUGGAAGUUCCCAGGGGUCUAAGUCUGUUUUGGAACAGUUUUUAAUAGCAGAUGGAAGUUCACCCUUUAAAAGAUGAAUUACAGUGCCGACAGGAACUCGGACAACCUUAUCUUCCCCUCGAGUUCCUAUCAUACUCUUCGAAGCUCCAUGACCCCCUUUUCCUGCAUUAACAUGAUGGUGCAAACCACUAAAGUCCCAGAUUGCAGGGGAGCACUGUAAAAUCACAUCACCACCUCUUCCACCAUUUCCACCAUCAGGUCUGCCAUGGCGAUCAUGCCGACUAUGGCGAAAGCUGGAACAACCAUUGCCACCAUCACCUCCCUUAGCAUUUAGCAUAAACCGAUCUCUCAUUCUGGUUUCCUGUAAAGGGGCACACUUUGCUUUUGUGUGAGGAAUGUCUGAACAAGAGAACAAAGACAAAAAAAUCCAUGGAGAUUUAGAAGAUUUUCUCAAGGCCUCUAUGUGGCAAAAGGGUUUUGCACAACGUAACCACAUCAGUCUCUCUUUCCUGUCCAGAUGUCCUUCAAAGUCUCCUCAAAUUCAAUAAACUGGAAUUCAAUGUUUUGCUAUGUCAGCAACCUUAUCCGUUGUCGACUCCGCCGUAGAACACUAGAGCUACCGCCACCAGGGGAGAUCCAGUUCACCGGAUAUCAUUAGAGGGGAUAGCAAGUGAGCUAGAACUACAAAGACGAAGGAAAGGAACCCUUGUUUGAGUGGCUUCUAGCAUAACUGAGUUUCGCCUGUUCUCUCGGGUUCGGCGCAUUUGUC
rnacentral:misc_RNA from 1 species